UACGGGGGGUGCGAGCGUUGUCCGGAAUCACUGGGCGUAAAGGGCGCGUAGGUGGUCUGAUAAGGGUGUGGUGAAAGCCCGGGGCUCAACCCCGGGUCGGCCGUGCCGACUGUUGGACUAGAGUGCUGUAGGGGCAGGCGGAAUUCCGGGUGUAGCGGUGGAAUGCGUAGAGAUCCGGAGGAAGACCGGUGGCGAAGGCGGCCUGCUGGGCAGUUACUGACACUGAGGCGCGACAGCGUGGGGAGCAAACAGG
rnacentral:rRNA from 2 species